CAGGCUCCGGUUCACGCCAGCACGACCGCCACGACAGGCACGGCGACCCGGCGGCC
rnacentral:ncRNA from 1 species